rnacentral:rRNA from 1 species
UACGAACCGUGCAAACGUUGUUCGGAAUCACUGGGCUUAAAGGGAGCGUAGGCGGGCUAUCAAGUCUGGGGUGAAAUCCCGCGGCUCAACCGUGGAACUGCCUCAGAUACUGACGGCCUCGAGGGAGAUAGGGGCAUGCGGAACUGUAGGUGGAGCGGUGAAAUGCGUUGAUAUCUACAGGAACUCCGGUGGCGAAAGCGGCGUGCUGGAUCUCUUCUGACGCUGAGGCUCGAAAGCUAGGGGAGCAAACGGG